rnacentral:lncRNA from 1 species
UAGCUACGAGAGCUUUCACGACGUUCGUUACCAACGAUGCUUUCGGGAAACUGUACGAUGCUCGUACCAUGCACUUCACGAUCCACUAAUGCCGCUUUUCCACUGCAUGGUACCAGCUCGACACGACUCGACUCCGCUCGCAUUUUUUGCGUUUCCACCGCGAAAACAUGGUAUCUGGUACCUGAAGUGGCUGCUUUUUCUAGUACCGCCUCGCUCUAGGUUCCAAGCGAGCUGAGCCGAUGCUAAAAGGUGACGUCGGCAGACGGCCGGCCACUGAUUGGCCAGAGAGUGUGACCAAGUCACGAGAGCGACAUGGCAACCAUGCUGGUGUUGUUUGCGUCGCGUACAAAAAUACGUCACGGCCCUUUCGCGCAGCCGACCCCGCCCACGUCCCGGAGGUACUAUUUGCGGUGGAAAAGGACCCGCGCUGCUACCGUGUCGAGUCGUGUCGUGUCGAGUCGGUUUAACACACCAACAUUGCUAGCAAGCAUGUGCUAACAUUGUAUUGCUAAUUCAAAACUGUGUAGGCUACAAUAUUUUCUUCCGUUUCUUGACCUCAGCAUAACCCCCCUCCGAACAACUGCCAAGUCCAACACAAGUCUGGCUAUUAACGAGCCCAUCCUCAGCCUCGCCAUCGCGAGUCGUGUUUGAACUUGAUUUCUUUCGAAAUAGUAAAAACUUGUCCAUAUUUUUUAAGCGCCAACGAGCCGGCAACGAACAUCUCUGACUGAUAAUCUCGCCGCGAGAUGUCCGCAUAUUUGAAAUGUUAUUUAUUUUUCGUAAGACUAUGCUAUUAAUGAAAUUAUUGUUUCAUGUACAUUAAAUAAUAAUUAAUUAAUAUUGUACAUAUUGCUUGGGAUAGUUUGUGUUAAUUGUGUGUAUGUUUUUUUUUUUAAUCUGUUCAUGUCACUUACAGAGUGUGUGCAUGCCCAACGCUCGGGAACUGGGCACGGUGAGGGGGGGAGAGGAGAGUCCCAGGCUGACUCGCGUUGAUUUGAACGACAGUCCAGUCACGGCCCUGAAAUGUUGACGCUACUCACUGAUUAUGCACUUAAUCUGGUGAUUCAUAUGACAGGAAUGGUCGGUAUGGUGACGGGUACCGCAUUCGGCCAUAGGUUUAGUUGAACUUAUUUAAUACCAUUUUACGGAAAAUGGCAUUAUUUCAAAUAUGUUGUUUGAGUUUGACAAAAAAUCAGGGGUUGCUCUGGGGUUUCUGAGUAAUUGCUUGGAGUUGCUAUAGCAACGGCAAGCAACCGUUUGGCGCCGCCCCUGCGAGUCGAGCUACAUGUGCGGUGGAAAAGCGGCAAUAGGCUAACGAUGCUUUCGGGAAACUGGGCCCUGGAGAGGAGGGAGAAGGAGGCGGGAGCAGGGGUAGGGAAAGGGGCAGAGGCGGACGGUGGGGGGCGGAGUGGGACGGCGGGGGGUGGAGUGGGACGUCCCAUACGGAGGAUUUUCAAAUGGGAAAGUCGGGGAUUUGACAGAUGUUCAUGAGCAUAAGCCGCUCCGUUCAUAGCUGAGCUGAGAGGGUUUUGGAGCGGG